GACGAACGCUGGCGGCGUGCCUAAUACAUGCAAGUAGAACGCUGAAGGAGGAGCUUGCUUCUCUGGAUGAGUUGCGAACGGGUGAGUAACGCGUAGGUAACCUGCCUGGUAGCGGGGGAUAACUAUUGGAAACGAUAGCUAAUACCGCAUAACAGUAGAUGUUGCAUGACAUUUGCUUAAAAGGUGCAAUUGCAUCACUACCAGAUGGACCUGCGUUGUAUUAGCUAGUUGGUGGGGUAACGGCUCACCAAGGCGACGAUACAUAGCCGACCUGAGAGGGUGAUCGGCCACACUGGGACUGAGACACGGCCCAGACUCCUACGGGAGGCAGCAGUAGGGAAUCUUCGGCAAUGGACGGAAGUCUGACCGAGCAACGCCGCGUGAGUGAAGAAGGUUUUCGGAUCGUAAAGCUCUGUUGUAAGAGAAGAACGAGUGUGAGAGUGGAAAGUUCACACUGUGACGUAUCUACCAGAAA
rnacentral:rRNA from 1 species